UUCUGCUCUCCAUGUUAUCACUCUCCAAGCGAUGCUGCAUCUCGCACAUUGGGGGUCAUUCCGACCCAUUCGCACGCUGCUGUUUGUCGCAGUGGUGCGAAUGGGUCGGUUCUGCAUCUGCGCGGCGGCCUCAAUGCACACGCACGUCUUUGCACAGCGACAGCUGUCGCAGGGCAAUGACGAGAAGAACGAAGACAGCGAUCGCUCGCACGAUCGCAAGAAGAUUGACAGCAGGAAGGCGUUCCGGGGUGGCAACUCACUGUUUUCUGGGAGUGGUGAGUCUAACGCAGGUGUGUCCAGGCAUUUGGAGGGGGGAUGUCUGACGUCAAUUCCGGGACCUGCAUCGCUGCAUCGAUCGCACAGGGUAACUGUUACCCUGGUCUAGUUCCACACAAAACUUUUUUUCAUAGCAGGGCUGCACAAGGGUUCGUAGCCUUGCUAUGCAAAACAGAGCUCCCCCGUAGGCGGCAUCGAGUUGAUCGCAUGGGCAGCAAAAAGUUGCUACGUGCGAUCAACUCGGAAUGACCCCCACUAUUCCCGGCCUUGAAAGAGAUCCCAGAAACGCGUUGGAAUUUGUGUAGACUAUCCGGUGAAGGAUUCUGGAGCCAUUGUCUGACUGGGAGCUAUGCCGUGGUUGUGAUCCGGGACACCCGCAGGUAUUAACCCCAUUAUAUCCGAUCCUAAGUAAAUCAAGCAGCCCGCAAUUGGAGAUGCUCAUCAUUAACUGCAACCCAUUCUACUCCCCCCGGGAAUUUUCCUCAACAGUACUGGUGGGGGUGUAUAUCCCCCCCCAAACAGACACAAACGAUGCCCUGCAACAGCUGGCCACCAGGAUAGCAGAUACAGAACUCAAAUAUCCGGACUCACUGCUUAUAGUACUGGGAGACUUCAACAACACCAACCUGAGCCAGGAGCUACCUGAGUACAAGCAGCAAAUCAAGUGCCAUACCAAGGAGGGGCAAACCCUGGACCACCGCUAUUCCUCCAUCAAGACAGCUUACCAGUCCAUCACCCACGCAACCCUAGGCCCCUCCAACCACUGCAUAGUCCAUCUGCUCUCCACAUACAUCCAGAAGCUAAGGAUGGAAAAGCCCGUAGUCAGGUCCAUCAAACGCUGGACAAGUAAAGCUAAGCUGUAGCUUCAGGCCUGUUUUGACUGCACAGAUUGGAGAAUUUUGAAACUUCUGCUACCGACCUGGAUGACCUGGCUGAUGUAGUGACAUCCUACAUCAGUUUCUGUGAGAACACGUGUGUGCCAACAAAAACAGUCCACACCUUCGAUAACAACAACUCCCAGCUCAGGAAGCUUCAUCGGGCCAAGGAGGAGGCAUACAGCAGUGGGGACAGGGCCCUGUACAAACAGGCCAGGAACUCCCUGACAUGCGAAAUCAAGCUAAAAACCGAUUCUCCAAAAAACUGACUAACAACCUUUUGGCCAACGACCCCGCGUCAGUUUGGAGAGGUAUGCAAGCCAUAACCAGCUACAAGAAAACCCGAAAACACACUAUCAUGCACAAGGAACUGGCGGACAAGCUGAACAACUUUUUACUGCAGAUUUGAGAAGUAUUAUUGGAACAGAACAAGUUAAAUAUAUCAUGCUUAGUGUCAAAAGGAUCAGGAGAAUGUGUGGAGUAAUUUGAUAGCUAUGGGUAGAUUGUAGCACAUUGUAAUAAUUAGUUAUGACCAAAUGUAUGAAUACAAAGGACUUUCUGAGACUGGAAACUGGAUUCACAGUCAUGGCCCUGGGGGGCAGACACAUGUGUUUGCAACAUAGGACAAAAGCCCUCACACUGACCUAUGAACCGUCGAGUUCUUGAGAGGUCUAGCCUCUGGACCUAUGGAAGAAGAUGAAACCCACUGUUGUAUACACCCAUUAUUUUACUGUAUAAAAAUAUGGACCCAGAAGCAGGCAGCUCUCUGCUACAUUAUCAUUCACUCUCUCACACAUAUACACUCUCACACACACACUCUCUCUCACACACACACACACACACACACACACACACACACACACACACACACACACACACACACACCCGUAUCAGAAGUCUCCUGCCUGAUGACUGGCUGCCUGAUUCCA